rnacentral:lncRNA from 1 species
AGCUGAAGAGGCAUGUGAAAGCUGAGAAGAAACUGGAAGAGAAAGGCCAAGUAGAAAGAGCUCAAUGAGAAACAGCUAAACCAGACUACUGCUGCUGCUACCACCAACCACACCGCUGGCAUUGGUAUGGGUGCCAAGGAGAAGACUCUGGACCCAAAUCAAUAUUACAGGAUCCAAAGUCCAGCAGCUGAAGGUCAGUGGGGAGGACUCAUACCCAACCAAGUACCAUGUGGAUAUCUCAUUCACUCAGUUCAUUCAAGAAUACAGCCACCUGCAGCCUGGGGAUCACCUGAUUAACGUCAUCUUAUAAGUGGCAGGUCACAUCCAAGAGAGUCUCUGGGGGAAAAUUCAUCUUCUAUGACCUUUGAGGAGAGGAGGUCAAGUUACAAGUCAUAGCCAACUCCAGGAAUUAUAAAUCAGAGGAAGAAUGUGUUCAUAUCGAUAACAAACUGCACCAGGGAGACAUAAUUGGAGUUGAGGGUAAUCCAGAGAAAACCAAGAAGGUCCAGAUGAGCACCAUCCCCCAGGAGAUCACACUUCUUACGCCUGCUUGCCAUAUGCCUCAGCUUCACUUUGGCCUUCAGAGACAAGGAAACAAGGUCUCUUCAGAGAUAUUUGGACUUGAUCCUGAAGGAGUUUGUGAGAUAGAAAUUUGUCAUCUUCUCUAAAGAUCACCACAGAUACAAGAAGUUUCUUAGAUGAGCUGGGAUCCCUGGACUUUGGAACUCCCAUGAUGAACAUCAUCCCUGGGGGAGCUUCGGCCGAGCCUUUCAUCACCUAUCACAAUGAGCAGGAAAAUUAACUUAUGUAUGAGAAUUGCUCCAGAAUUCUACCAUAAGAUGCUGGCUAUUGGUGCCAUUGACAGGGUUUAUGAAAUUGGGCACCAGUUCUGGAGUGAAGGGAUUGAUUUGACAUUCUGAAUUCACCACCUGUGAGUUCUACAUAGUCUAUGCAGACAAUCAUGACCUCAUGGAAAUCACAGAGAAGAUGCUGUCAGGCAGUUACAAGAUCACCUGCCACCCAGACAGGCCAGAAGUCCAAGCCUGUGAAACUUACUUCACUCCACCCUUUGGAAGAAUCAGCAUGGUAGAAGUGUUUGAGAAAGCCCUAGGUGUGAAGCUGCCAGAAACCAGUCUCUUUGAAAUGGAAGAAACUUGAAAAUUUCUUGAUAUUUCUGCGGCAAAAGCUGUUGAAUGCCCCCCACCUAGGACCACAAUCAAGCUCCUAGAUAAGCUUGUUGGAACAUUCCUCGAAGUGACAUGCAUCAGUCCUACAUUCAUCUGUGAUCACCCACCACUCCAAAGAAGCACCACUCCAAAGCAUAACUAAGCAUUUUGAGCUGUUUGUCCUAAGAAGGAUGUAUGUGAUGCCUACACUAAGCUGAAUGAUCCCAUAUGGCAGCAAUAGCUGUUUGAAGAACAAGCCAAGGCCCAGGCUGCUGGUGAUGAUGAGGCCAUGUUCAUAGAUGAGAACUUCUGCGCUGCCCUGGAAUAUGGGUUGCCCCUAACAGCUGGCUGGGGCAUGGGUAUAGGUCGACUCACCAUGUUUCUCACAGAUUCCAACAAAAUCAAGGGAGUACUUCUGUUGCCUGCCAUGAAGCCUAAAGACAAGAAGGAAACUGCAACAGCCACUGAAACCCCAGAAAGCACAGAGGCCAGCCCCUCUGUCUAG